rnacentral:rRNA from 1 species
AAGUCURGUGCCAGCAGCCGCGGUAAUUCCAGCUCCAAUAGCGUAUAUUAAAAUUGUUGCGUCUAAAAAGCUCGUAGUUUGAAAACUUGCCUUGGCUUGCAAUCGGUCCUCAUAGGGCCACCGUAGGUUGAGUGCAAAUAUGGAUGACUGUUUUUGCCGUCUUUAUUGACCGGCUUAUAAGAGUUAUCAAAUAUCACUUUGAUUAAAUUAGAGUGCUUAAAGCAAGUGUGUUACUUGGAUAUAAAUGCAUGGAAUGAUGGAAUAUGUUGUUGUUCUAUUUGUUGGUUUUUGAAUGAUGAAAUGAUUGAAAGGAACUGUUGGGGGCAUUCGUAUUGUUGUGAGAGAGGUGAAAUUCUUAGACCACAGCAAGACGAACUACUGCGAAAGCAUUUGCCAAGAAUGUUUUCAUUGAUCAAGAACGAAAGUUAGAGGUUCGAAGGCGAUCAGAUACCGCCCUAGUUCUAACCAUAAA